rfam:Lentinula edodes NBRC 111202 DNA, contig: scaffold31.
GGUGAGAUGGCCGAGCGGUCUAAGGCGCCAGACUAAGGAGACCAGCACAUCUGGUGUGCAUAAGAAUCUGGUCACAUUGUGGCGUGGGUUCGAAUCCCACUCUCAUCA